AAUGAACGCUGGCGGCGUGCCUAACACAUGCAAGUCGGAUGUGCCCGCAAGGGUGCAUGGCAGACGGGUGAGUAACGCGUGGGGAAUCUACCUUUUAGUGGGGAAUAACGCUCCGAAAGGAGUGGUAAUACCGCAUGUGACCAUCGGCUGGGAUGCUGAUGGUGAAACCCUGGGACCUUCGGGCCAGGGGCUAGAAGAGGAUCCUGCGUCUGAUUAGCUAGUUGGCGGGGUAACGGGCCCACCAAGGCGACGAUCAGUAGCCGGCCUGAGAGGGUGAUCGGCCACACUGGAACUGAGACACGGUCCAGACUCCUACGGGAGGCAGCAGUGGGGAAUUUUGCGCAAUGGACGAAAGUCUGACGCAGCAACGCCGCGUGGGUGAUGAAGGUCUUCGGGUCGUAAAGCCCUGUGGAGGGGGAAGAAUAAGGGCAGCCUAAUACGCUGACCGAUGACGGUACCCCUUUAGCAAGCACCGGCUAACUCUGUGCCAGCAGCC
rnacentral:rRNA from 1 species